rnacentral:rRNA from 1 species
GACGAACGCUGGCGGCGUGCUUAACACAUGCAAGUCGAACGGAAAGGCCCCUUUGGGGGUACUCGAGUGGCGAACGGGUGAGUAACACGUGAGUAACCUGCCCUUGACUUCGGGAUAACUUCAGGAAACUGGGGCUAAUACCGGAUAGGAAUCCUUGCUGCAUGGUGGGGGAUGGAAAGCUUCGGCGGUUUUGGAUGGACUCGCGGCUUAUCAGCUUGUUGGUGGGGUAGUGGCUUACCAAGGCUUUGACGGGUAGCCGGCCUGAGAGGGCGACCGGCCACAUUGGGACUGAGAUACGGCCCAGACUCCUACGGGAGGCAGCAGUGGGGAAUAUUGCACAAUGGGCGGAAGCCUGAUGCAGCAACGCCGCGUGCGGGAUGACGGCCUUCGGGUUGUAAACCGCUUUCAGCAGGGGCGAAGCUUUUGUGACGGUACCUGCAGAAGAAGCACCGGCUAACUACGUG